rnacentral:rRNA from 1 species
AGAGUUUGAUUCUGGCUCAGAACGAACGCUGGCAGCGUGGAUUAGGCAUGCAAGUCGAACGGGAACCGGGGUAUUCAAGUAGCAAUACGAGGAUAUCUCGGGGAGAGUGGCGAAAGGGUGAGGAACGCGUGGGUAACCUGCCCUCAAGAUGGGGAUAACAUCUCGAAAGGGGUGCUAAUACCGAAUGUGGUCGUCUGUCGCAUGGCAGAAUGACCGAAGAUGGGGAUCCUUCGGGACCUGUCACUUGAGGAGGGGCCCGCGUCCCAUCAGCUUGUUGGUGAGGUAACGGCCCACCAAGGCUUACGGGUAGCUGGUCUGAGAGGAUGGUCAGCCACACUGGGACUGAGACACUGCCCAGACUCCUACGGGAGGCUGCAGUCGAGGAUCAUUUGCAAUGGGCGCAAGCCUGACAGUGCGACGCUGCGUGGAGGAAUGAAGGCCUUCGGGUUGUAAACUCCUGUCAUUCGGGAACAAGAACGGGGGGACGAAUAAUCCUUCUGAUUGAUGGUACCGGAAGAGGAAGCCACGGCUAACUCUGUGCCAGCAGCCGCGGUAAUACAGAGGUGGCGAGCGUUGUUCGGAUUUACUGGGCGUAAAGGGUGCGUAGGUGGUUUUGUAUGUCGGAUGUGAAAUCCCACUGCUCAACGGUGGAACGUCGUCCGAAACUGCGAAGCUAGAGUGCAGGAUGGGAGAGCGGAAUUCUUAGUGUAGCGGUGAAAUGCGUUGAUAUCAAGAAGAACACCGGUGGCGAAGGCGGCUCUCUGGAAUGCAACUGACACUGAGGCACGAAAGCUGGGGGAGCAAACAGGAUUAGAUACCCUGGUAGUCCCAGCCCUAAACGGUGUACACUUGGUGUAGGGGGAAUUGACCCCCCCUGUGCCGGAGCGAACGCGUUAAGUGUACCGCCUGGGGAGUACGGCCGCAAGGCUAAAACUCAAAGAAAUUGACGGGGGCCCGCACAAGCGGAGGAGCAUGUGGCUUAAUUCGAUGCAACGCGAAGAACCUUACCAGGGCUUGACAUGUAGGUGCACGCCCCGUGAAAGCGGGGAAGCCUUCGAGGGUCCUACACAGGUGCUGCAUGGCUGUCGUCAGUUCGUGCCGUGAGGUGUUGAGUUAAGUCUCGCAACGAACGCAACCCUUGUGCUUAGUUGCCACUCCCGAUGAUGAGUCGGGAAGCACUCUAAGCAGACUGCCCGUGCAAGCGGGAGGAAGGUGGGGAUGACGUCAAGUCAGUAUGGCCUUUAUGCCCUGGGCUGCACACGUGCUACAAUGGGAGGUACAGAGGGACGCAAGACCGCGAGGUGGAGCAAAUCCCCCAAAACCUCCCCCAGUUCAGAUUGAAGGCUGCAACUCGCCUUCAUGAAGUUGGAUUCGCUAGUAACGGCGUAUCAGCUACGACGCCGUGAAUACGUUCCCGGGCCUUGUACACACCGCCCGUCACAUCAUGAAAGCCGUCUGCACCCGAAGUCGCCAAUGCAACCGGCAACGGAGCUAAGCGCCGAAGGUGUGGGUGGUGAUUGGGAUGAAGUCGUAACAAGGUA